rnacentral:rRNA from 1 species
AUGAUAGAGAAACUGCUAGCUAAUCCUUAUGCAGGAGAUGGAACAUUACAUCCCGAUAUGCACCUAAUCUAUGUGGAUGAAGUUUGUGGAUUAUUUAAGCUUGCAGGUAUGCCCGAGGAUGUUGUCAAGAAGAAGGUCUUCCCUUUAUCUUUAAAGGGAAAGGCAUUGACAUCGUAUAGGCUACUGGAUGAUAUUGGAGCAUGGAACUACAACCGAUUGGAAUUGGAAUUUCAUCAGAAGUUUUAUCCUAUGCAUCUGGUUCAUCAUGAUUGGAAUUAUAUAUAUAAUUUUUGGCCUCCUGAAGGAGAAAGUAUCGCUCAAGCUUGGGGGAGGCUUAAGUCAAUGUUAUAUUAA